AGUCGAGCGGGGUUAGGGUGCUUGCCUCUGAUUCCUAGCGGCGGGCUGGUGAGUUAUGCUUAGGAUCUGCCUAUUAGUGAGGGACAACGUUCCGAAAGGCCGCUCUUACCGCAUACGUCCUACGGAAGAAAGCGGGGGAUCUUCGGACCUUGCGCUCAUAUAUGAGCCUAAGACGGAUUAGCUACUUGUUGGGUAAAAGGCCUACCAAGGCGACAACCUGUAGCGGAUCUGAGAGGAAGAUCCGCCACUGUGCGACUGACUGCGACCCAGACUCCUACGAGAGGCAUAAGUGGGGGAUUUUGGCAAAUGGAUGCAACACUGAACCAGCCUGCCGCGUGAGUGCAGAGGGCUUUUGU
rnacentral:rRNA from 1 species